GACGAACGCUGGCGGCGUGCUUAACACAUGCAAGUCGGACGGUGAAGCUCCAGCUUGCUGGAGUGGAUCAGUGGCGAACGGGUGAGUAACACGUGAGCAACCUGCCCCUGACUCUGGAAUAAGCGCUGGAAACGGCGUCUAAUACUGGAUACGAGAAGGGUCCGCAUGGGCACUUUCUGGAAAGUUUUUCGGUUGGGGAUGGGCUCGCGGCCUAUCAGCUUGUUGGUGAGGUAAUGGCUCACCAAGGCGACGACGGGUAGCCGGCCUGAGAGGGCGACCGGCCACACUGGGACUGAGACACGGCCCAGACUCCUACGGGAGGCAGCAGUGGGGAAUAUGGCACAAUGGGCGAAAGCCUGAUGCAGCGACGCCGGGUGAGGGAUGACGGCCUUCGGGUUGUAAACCUCUUUCAGCAGGGAAGAAGCGAAAGUGACGGUACCUGCAGAAGAAGCACCGGCUAACUACGUG
rnacentral:rRNA from 1 species